AAGACACUAGUAAAACAGCCAUUACACCGCCUUGUCAAGGCCGAAUUGCGGGUUAGAGCCCCGCGUGUUUUG
rnacentral:tRNA from 1 species